UCUGAGCGCCCCUUAUCAUUUCAGUGAAUGGCAAUUGCAGCCUUGGUGCUGUUAUAGCAAUGAAGCUACAGACGUCAUUGCCUCCUGUUGGACGUGAGAUGUGUCCAAGCAUCAGCCCCUUUUGCUUAAGAAAAACUCUUUAACUUCCACGCAGCCGACAGGCAAGCUUUUCUAAGAUCCUGUGGAGCCAACGUUGUAUUGAUAGAGUUAUAUCUUUUUAUUUAUAUAUACAUACACACACACAUGCACAGGUGUGAAUGUGUAUGUGUGUAAGUACGUAUGUAUAGAGAGAGAUAAAUUAAAGCCGCAGCUAUACUGCAAGCUCCUCUAAAAUUUCCUGCUCGUCAGAGUAGCUCUCUGCAUCGUUUUGUUAAAUACAGCCCGGCGGGAAAGCCAUCAUCAAUCAAUUUCGGGUAACAAGGAAGACUUGUUGAACACCUUGUUCUCCAGACCCCGGGAAGAUGCUGGGCUGCUGGAGCGUGGAAGAGCCAGGAUUGUGCCCUGAACUUCACCCACUUGGCAGCAGCUAUUCCUAAACAAUUUCCCCUCUCCUCCCCUGCCUGUUUGCCUCUCGGACUGACUGAGAAUCUGCUCUUUAAAGUUGAUCUGAAGGGGAAAGCAGAGACGAGCUUGUGCAUAGUUUGGAGGCUCAGAAUGCUGUGAAAGCAGAGCUUCUGCAGGACUUGGAGCAGUGUUCCUCAUGGAAUCUUUGAAUACUGUGUUCUUCUGAGAACCUUGGCCUGGAGUUUGAAAAGAAGACUGAUGCAGCUUCUGUGAUGCGCUGUCCAGCAUUACCUUUAUGCAGAAGAUGAAGCAGCAGGGAAAUUGGGAAAAGUACAUCUUCACAUUCACCUGGAAAUGUGGAAAUGCAGAAAGCAAGUCAGCAAGCUACGUUCUGAAGGAGUCAGGGCUUAUCUGUUCUGUUAAAAAUUUUUGUGUGAUAUAUGGGAAAUCAAUCCUGGUUUAUAUUUCUGCCCAAUUAGUAUAAAAUGCAGAGAGAGGUGCCUUGAUGCUACAGAAGUAAGUCCAGGUAAAUUCUCCAGUAGGUUCUGUGGGCUGUCCACCUAGCUUGCUGGUUUUGGAAAGAAGCAGACAUGCUUUUGACAGUGUAUUUUGUGUGUGAUGAUGUUGCAGAUAGGUAAAAGACAAACACUUUUGUUUUGCCAAUUGCAUUCAGCUUUACAAAAACAACAUAGAUAAAAUUGGGGUUGGGUGAGAUUAGGUAAACCAUUUGAAAUGAAGAUAACCUUUUUUGGUAGUCGAAUUUUCUAAGUGAAAGUAGCUGUGGG